ACUUUUAAAGGAUAGUAGUUAUCCAUUGGUCUUAGGAGCCAAAAAAU
rnacentral:tRNA from 1 species